rnacentral:rRNA from 1 species
AGUGAACGCUGGCGGUAGGCCUAACACAUGCAAGUCGAACGGCAGCACAGGAGAGCUUGCUCUCUGGGUGGCGAGUGGCGGACAGGUGAGGAAUACAUCGGAAUCUACUCUGUCGUGGGGGAUAACGUAGGGAAACUUACGCUAAUACCGCAUACGACCUACGGGUGAAAGCAGGGGACCUUCGGGCCUUGCGCGAUUGAAUGAGCCGAUGUCGGAUUAGCUAGUUGGCGGGGUAAAGGCCCACCAAGGCGACGAUCCGUAGCUGGUCUGAGAGGAUGGUCAGCAACCCUGAAACUGAGACACGGUCCAGACUCCUACGGGAGGCAGCAGUGGGGAAUAUUGGAAAAUGGGCGCAAGCCUGAUCCAGCCAUACCGCGUGGGUGAAGAAGGCCUUCGGGUUGUAAAGCCCUUUUGUUGGGAAAGAAAUCCAGCUGGCUAAUACCCGGUUGGGAUGACGGCACCCAAAGAAUAAGCACCGGCUAACUUCGUGCCAGCCGCCGCGGUAA